rnacentral:rRNA from 1 species
GACGAACGCUGGCGGCGUGCUUAACACAUGCAAGUCGAACGGAAAGGCCCUGCUUUUGUGGGGUGCUCGAGUGGCGAACGGGUGAGUAACACGUGAGUAACCUGCCCUUGACUUUGGGAUAACUUCAGGAAACUGGGGCUAAUACCGGAUAGGAGCUCCUGCUGCAUGGUGGGGGUUGGAAAGUUUCGGCGGUUGGGGAUGGACUCGCGGCUUAUCAGCUUGUUGGUGGGGUAGUGGCUUACCAAGGCUUUGACGGGUAGCCGGCCUGAGAGGGUGACCGGCCACAUUGGGACUGAGAUACGGCGCAGACUCCUACGGGAGGCAGCAGUGGGGAAUAUUGCACAAUGGGAGGAAGCCUGAUGCAGCAACGCCGCGUGCGGGAUGACGGCCUUCGGGUUGUAAACCGCUUUCGCCUGUGACGAAGCGUGAGUGACGGUAAUGGGUAAAGAAGCACCGGCUAACUACGUG